CAGAGAGGCUGGAAACGGCAGAGGAGGAAAAGAAGAAAGAAAAGAGAAGAGAAAGGAAGAAAAAGAAGAAGAGAAGGGAAAAAGAGGAGGAGAAAAAGGAAGGAAAAUAGAUUUAAGAGGAUAAGAGUACAAAUUGGAGCUCAAGUUUGUUGAUUCUUUAAUCUCCAAUUUCAUUAAGGUGAUGACGUGAAAGCUCGACAAUGCUGGUCAAUUUGACUAGAUUGCUAUCCAUAGAUCUAUAGCAGCCGAGUUGAACAGUAUUGGAGCCUGUCGAUCCUUUGAAUUGAGCCACACGUCAUUAGUUGUAUGGUCUACUUUAUCAGAUUAGGUAGCACCUGUUUCUUGGGUUACAUGUAGUUUAUGUUAGAAAAGGUUGUCAUGAGAUCACUAUAUGGUAUAUUUAGUACAUUUGAGGAUUGUCGGUAACAAGUAAAUAUCAAAUUGUCAGUAUUUUAUUUUGAAUAGUUUGGAUUUUGAGGCA